UACGUAGGGUGCGAGCGUUGUCCGGAAUUAUUGGGCGUAAAGAGCUCGUAGGCGGUCUGUCGCGUCGGUCGUGAAAACUUGGGGCUUAACCCUGAGCUUGCGGUCGAUACGGGCAUGACUGGAGUUCGGCAGGGGAGACUGGAAUUCCAGGUGUAGCGGUGAAAUGCGUAGAUAUCUGGAGGAACACCGGUGGCGAAGGCGGCAUCCUGGACCGACACUGACGCUGAGGAGCGAAAGCCAGGGGAGCAAACGGG
rnacentral:rRNA from 1 species